AUUCUUGGACCUGUUUGUGUUAGAUAUGUCUGUCUAUCAGCAUCAAUCAUACACAAAUCAUGCAUAUACACGCAUAAUCAUAGCAUUCAGAUAUUCAUGUUGCAUUCUUUCCCAUAUAUCUUUGCUUGUUAUCUCUUACUACUGGUGAAAUAUUCUUCCCUAAGCAGAUGUUUGUGUCUGAUCUCUCCAUUUAGAAUCAGCCUCAUAGGUAGAAAGUG
rnacentral:lncRNA from 1 species